GCGGUGCCCGAGGAAGUGAACUUAAUUUUGCUCCUUCACAAAGACCGGCCCGGCCCGGGCGGUGCGUCUCACGCGAGGAGGCUGCGGCCCCCGACACCUCCCGGCCCGCAGCCCGGUGCGCGCGAGGCGGCACCUCCGGCCCGAGGCGAUCCUCAUUUCAACAGAAAAUGCACCGCCCCGAGUGUCUUAUUGCUGUGAUGAAAUGGAAAUUUAAAUAAAAGGUCGAACACGUGCGUUCGCUGGGAAGUAUUGACAUGGGUGUUACAUCACCACCAGCCAAUCAGAUACCCGCAGUCGUGUUUAUACUUUCUACAACCACCUUGCACUUUGCAAAUAAAUGCAUUAUUUAUUGUAUUUUAACCACUGCUGCCUCCCCCAUGAAAAGAAUUAUUGAAGUUAAUUGUUUACCUAGGAUUAAGGUAAUGAUUUUAUUUAUUUAUUCAUGAGAGACACCAAGAGACAGGCAGAAACACAGGCAGAGGGAG